UAAAAACACUCUGCUCUUCACUCGGUCAGGAAACUUGGGAAGUGUGUGGCUCUUGGCACAGGUGGACCUACCUAAAGAGCUGAGCAAAUUUAAGAUCGUCUUUGAAGGCAUCCGUGGGUCGGAUUACUAUAGUGACCUCGCUGUAGACAAGAUUUCCUUGAGAGGACUGGGCGAUUGUGUCGAAUUUUGUAGCGAACCCCCAGCGGGCACAGACCAGGUC